UUAACCCUCUGGGGAGGCUUGGUGUUGAACUUGCAUCCUCAGAGAGACAACACUGGAUUCUUUCACCUGCUGAGCCACUCACAGCAGGAACUCCCCAAAGCAUGAAUUUUUAAUUCACCCUUUUUCAAAUUCCCUAAGUUGUAUUGAUGAGGUUGGCUUUAGCUAGCAAGCUUAAGGCUCCCUUCCUCCGUUUUUCAGUGGACCUCUCCUUUGCCAUCCUCAGUCCACCAAAGAGGUCGGCUAAUAGCAUGAGGGCCCAUGCUAUUUGUCACCCACAUCCUUACUCACCCACCUUGCUUUUACACACUACCUUCAACAUCACUGCUUGAAUAAUUCCUGACCAGCAUCAACAAUAACCAUGACCUUUAUUCUGUGUUCUCCUAGAAGAUCCUGAGGACCUGGGGGAGGAGUGGUCCAGCCUCAGGUCAGUCGUGGCCGCUCCUUCUGCCACCAUGGUCCUUGUAGAUGAGGUAACUGAUGAAAAUGAUACUUAUACAGAAAUUAUCACUCCAGUGACGAACAAUCAGGAUGAAGAAGAAGAUUGCAUAGGAUGCUGCUUCCGGAUCCAAAGGAACAAUCGACAGAGUCACAAAGAUCCACCUCUGGCUGCAUCAGAAAUUAUGCUCCUGGCCCACCAGCGAUGCACGCUAAUGGUCGGGACAGGUACGUGGAGAUUUUCUCCUUCGGUGCAUGCAAGAAUAAUUUUUCUUUAGGGUCCCCUGUAUACGAAUGAACUCGGAAGUAUUUUGUGGUAUCCUUUGUGCGUGCGUGCGUGCGUGCGUGCGUGUGUGUCCAAGUUGAAACAUACUUAGUCAGGUGGUAGUGUUUAUAUACCUGUGGAAAUAAAACGACUUUGAAAUCUCAACAGCCGGUUGAUGUUGGAGGGUGAAGAUGAUCUCUAGCCAGGGUGUCGAUGACGGCUGGCUUUUGGACAUUAGCUGCUGUGUCUCCCUCAGGGAAGCCGUGUUUCCAGGUGUCUUUAAAUUAUUAGACAUUGUUUCGACCUGGAUUAUGUGGACAAGAAGUCCAACAGAUGA
rnacentral:lncRNA from 9 species